rnacentral:rRNA from 1 species
GUGGGGGAUAUUGCACAAUGGAGGAAACUCUGAUGCAGCGACGCCGCGUGAGUGAUGAAGGCCUUCGGGUCGUAAAGCUCUGUCGCAGGGGAAUAACACAAUGAAGGUACCCUGUAAGAAAGGAUCGGCUAACUUCGUGCCAGCAGCCGCGGUAAGACGAGGGAUCCUAGCGUUGUUCGGAAUCAUUGGGCGUAAAGCGGAUGUAGGUGGCUAUGUAAGUCAGAUGUGAAAGCCUGGGGCUCAACCCCAGAAGUGCAUUUGAUACUGCGUAGCUUGAGUGUCGGAGAGGUUACUAGAAUUGUUGGUGUAGUGGUGAAAUACGUAGAUAUCAACAGGAAUACCGGAGGCGAAGGCGGGUAACUGGCCGAACACUGACACUGAGAUCCGAAAGCGUGGGGAUCAAACAGGAUUAGAAACCCGGGUAGUCC